AGUCUAUGAUGAUUUUAAUUUUAAGAGUAGUGGACAGAAGAGAUUUCUGAGCAAUUUCAUACUGAGACU
rnacentral:snoRNA from 1 species